rnacentral:lncRNA from 1 species
CAAAAACAAAAAUUCACAAUUUAAAUCUUGAUAUUAUAAAUUAAUUAAUACCCAACAAAAAAUUGGAAAAACGCAAUCAUCAAUAUCACUAUACAUCAGAAAAAACACAUAACUUAUAUAGCUUAUAUAUAACAAUAUAUUACUACGAGUUACUACACGUAACUAUAUAUGACUACAUCAUGUAUAUGACUACACAUGACUAUAUAUGACUACAUGUAUAUGACUAUACGUGACUAUAUAUGACUACAUGUAUAUGACUACACGUGACUGUAUAUGACUACAUGUAUAUGACUACACGUGACUAUAUAUGACUUGAUAACGCAAAUCUCUCCUACACUGAAACAAGUACAACCAAGUUACGAUCGGGAAAAACAUUCUGCAAUUGCAUUACCCGUGCUCUUAUUGGAAAAAAAAACUAUAAAUCAAAAAUCGUUAGAAACAUGGUAAAAAAAAUUAUUUAAACGAAACUAGAAUUCACACGAGCCUAUGGCAAAAAACUAGUAAACCUUCCCAUCAAAAGAAAUGCAAGGAGGGCUCAAGCUUGAAUACUCAUUUUAUCUGCUUCUUUCUCUCUCCGUAACACGGAUUUUUCAUCAUCAUGCACAACAAAAUUUCAUAUGUCAAAGACACUGUGUAUAACAUAUAAAUUUGAACACUGUCUCACCAAGCACAAAUAUUUUUCAUCGGCUCGAUUAGCCAAAAAGAUAGAACACAUAAGAGAAAUCACAUCCACUUGAUCCUCAGAUUUCAAACCAUUGAUUCAAAAUAUAGAUCAAAAUACACAAUAAUAUAUGCAUAUGUUCUUCAACAAAAUAACAAAUCAUCAUCAUCAUCACUCUACAUUAAAAAAAAACCACAUAAUCCAGACAUGACUAUAUGUUACUAUAUAUGACUAUCUAUAUGUUACUAUAUAUGACUAUAGUAACAUGUAGUAACAUUACUAUAUAUCUUUUCAAAAAAAAAAAAAAAAACAUUACUAUAUAUGACUAUAUAUCCUAGUGCCCUAUAGUCUGAAUGAAUUUCACUUCAUAGCAUAAUUUUCCCCAUAAUUCCUUACUGUAUAGAAGUAGCAAAAACAACAAUUCAUGUGACAAAAAAAUACGAGUUAGAGAAAAGGAACAUAAAAAUGGAAAAUGCAAUUAUGCACAUUUGAUAGUUGACUUUUAAGGACAUAAUAACCAUUAGACACUUCAGCCAAUAACAGCCAAUAAUAGAGAAAACCACAUCAUUUGCAUCUUCAAACUCCAAACCUACAUUGAGUAUCUCUAUUUUGUUUGGAAGCAAAGAAACACAAUAAGAUCGGACUUCUGAUUCCCACAUUACACUUAAAAAUGGUAUACUCAACAAAAUAAAAAAUAAAAUCCUAGAUCUAGUGUAUUUCACCAACAAUCAACCAUAAAUAAACAUGUAUGAUGCUUAUUAUAUGCACACAUAUACACGUUUUAAUGCGUGUAAUAUGUAAAUAGAGAAGAACUGUAAGAGAGUGUACCAGAGAAGGGUGAUUUAAGAUCACUGAAAUCGAUGUCGAGAAUAAAAAAAAAAAGUAUUUGAAAUCUGAUCAAUAGUUUCUCAGUAGCGGCUGCGAUUGGAGGGGUCCAAGGCGAACGGAUCCGCCGGAGGAGAACGGAUCUAUGAGGUUUGAACAUGUCCGACGCCAUUGAUACGACACCGUUCUUCAUCUUCUCCGUCGAAAUCGAAGAGCGGCGCUUGCGAAAUCAUGCGGAUUUGCGAAGGGUGGAUCGGCAGCGACGACGGCGGCUUUCCCUUCUCUAAGGUGAGAUGGUUUGCGGCGGCGACGACGUGUAUGGAGGUGGGCGGCGGUUGUGGACACGGGGUCGGAUUCAUAAGGGGGGUGUGGUCGGACAAUAUAAAGGGAUUGAUUAUUGCUUUAUGGUCCAUCAUCUUAAUCGGUGCAAUUAAGAAAAUGGAUUUAACAAAGCUAGUGCUUCUGGUGUCAGGGUAAUAAAAUUCUACCUAAUUUCUAGAUGGUGGAGCAGCUCUUGGAGGCGGAGGAGAUGUGGGUGGGGAGAAGAUUAGGUUUUAUCUGGAGAAUCAAAUGAGAGAGAUCGGGAAUGACCUUAUUUCCCACAAACUGCACAU